ACCACGCACCGUAAUGGUGAGGGAAUCGGGCAAAUAACCGGAAGGUUCUGGGUUCGAUUCCCAGCAGAGGGG
rnacentral:tRNA from 1 species